UCCAUAAGAUCGAUCGGAGAGACGGCCAGGCAACGUCGUAUUCGUCCCGGGAGCAGCGACAGUGAAUCGACCUGGGGCCUGGGGCACGAUUCGUUCCGGCGACUUUUCUCCCCUCGAGCUCGAGUCAAGGACACUGCCGACCGGUGCUGCAGUGGAUAUCGGUUCUUGCUGGACCUACACAGCUUUCAGCCACCUACUGCAUUCUUUCAUUCAAAUCUAGCCAUUGCCAGGUUCGUAUCACUAACAAUUUCAAGGUUGCAAUGCACCUUUGAUCACUUCAAUUUUCAAUACUGGUAUCUACUAGGUAGGUUGGUGUAUACACUAUAGCCAAGUCAAUCUGAAUUCAGGCCACAGCCUCCAUCCAGCUCACCAAGGCGGAGCCGGAGGUUUCCGCGGUGGUGACGCGGCCGCGCCAAACCCACCGAUCCGGUCCCCGAGUCCGCGUCCCGGUCCCGGCCAGCCGCCAGCCUGCUCGCCCGCCCGCUCGCUCGCCCAGUCAACGGCUUGACUGCGCCAGCCACGCCUGCUGCCUUCAGCCUUCCGCUUAAGAACAUGCUCCGGACCGGUGUCCUCUCCUCCCAUCCCCACCUCCGGGUCGAUUCGACCAGCCGGAGAAACUUCCAAGGCCGCCGCCGCCUUUGAUCGACGGACCCCCCCUUUCCUCCCUCCCCGCCCUUGUCCGUGCGGCGGCGCCGGAGCCGGAAGCUCCCCGGCGAGCCCGCCUAAGUUACUCGCUGCGGCGGGCUUUUUGCGUGGGUAUUCGGCGGCUGCGGCUCCCGGUUCGCGCGGCGGGGGAGGUUGCGCUUCGGCGGUUGCAUCCACCACCUCUCUACCUCGCCGCUGUGCUCCAGGUGAAGCCAUUUUUGCAGCGGGUCUAUUGCUAAGACGAAGAGGAGGGGUGAUAGCGGGUUCCCUUGGCGGAGCCCUCGGCCAUGCUGAAUGUUCUCUCCCGGUGCGCCAUUCAUGAGAACCUUGGAUGUGGCAGUGCUUAGUAAAGUCAUGACCCAGCUUCUCCAUCUCGAGGGGAAACCUCAGCGAUGCAUAAGGUCUAACAGGUAGUCCCAGCGCACGGAGUCGAAAGCCUUGGAUAUGUCUAGCUUUAGCAUGAGAGACGGGAUUCUAGAUGAGUGGAACCGCCGAGCGAGGCUUCUUACAUACGUGAAGUUGUCGUGUAUUGCUCUUGUUUUAAUGAAGGCGCUCUGGCUCUCCUAUAUCAACGUGUUCAUGAAUGGUUGCAGUCUUAGGGCCAUCAUCUUCGUUAUGAUUUUUGCUACAGCAUGGAUGAGGCUUAUUGGCCUGAAGUCCGUGAUAGAAUCACCUUCCUCCUUUUUGGGUAUUAGCACUAUGUUGGCCGAAUUGAGGAUAUCGAAUAAAUCAUGGUGAAGGCUGUGGAAAGCAUUGAUCAUGUUCAUCAGUUUUGCUCUAAUUAUGCCCCAACAUUUAUGGAAAAAGUUAAUUGUAAAACCGUCCGGUCCCGGAGCCUUAUCUUUGGGUAUGAGCUUGAGCGCCCUUUUGACUUUGUCCUCUGUGAAUUCCGCAUCUAGAGAGGAGAGAUCGAUGGACGGCCAAGAGAGAAGGUCCUAGUUGAAGUCAAUUUCUUGUCUCGGUGGUUGUCCUAAUACGUUGGCGAAGUGUGUUUGGGCGAUGUCAGCUUUGUCUUGUUGCGUUGUUACCCAACCAUUUUCUUUCUGAAGUUUGGUGAUGAAAUUCUUCCUUCUCCUAGAAUUAACCUUUAGGUGGAAGAAACGUGUGUUUGCAUCACCUAGCGAGAGGUUCGUUAUUCUAGAGCACUAUCUUUUACAUAGUCGUUCUAGAAUCGCAAGGCCCAUUAUCCUUUUCUUCAGUUUGGAACGUGGGGCUAACUCGUCGUCAGAUAGAGUUCGUGACUCUUGUGCGAUGUCUAGCUGGAGGAUGACCGAUUGCGCCAUAUGGAAUUGAAGCUUCGCUUUUGAGGAUAGUUUCUUGCUCCAUUUUCUCAAGGCCAGCGCCGUCCUGGCAAGCUUGAAGUUUAGACGAUGUGCUGGGUUUGUGUGGGUGUUUGUAGAGGACCAGGCAUCUUGAACCACUUGUUUGAAACCCGGCAUAGAGAGCCAAAAGUUCUCAAAUUUGAAAUAUCGUGGUCACGGUGGACUCUCUUGGUUGGAUAGUAGCAAUAGGCAGUGAUCAGAUAGCAAAGUGGAUAGGGCUUGCAGUACAUGGGACGAGAAGGUCAAGUCCCAGGCAUCGUUACAGAAGACUCGGUCAAGAUGAACUAAGAUUGGGUUGCAACGUUCAUUGCUCCAGGUGAACUUCCUAUUUUGUAGGUGACUUUCUUUGAGCUUGCAGGUGUUUCGAGUUUCUCGAAAACUUCACAUGCUGUUGAGGUUUAAGUUUGAGUCGUUCUUAUCUCUUGCUCUAUAGAUUAGGUUGAAGUCACCGAGAAUUAGCCAUUUGACGCCCUGUUGUGGUGCUGAACUUCUGAUUUCCUGUAGGAAGUUGAUUUAUUGUAGCCUCAUGUUGGGUCGUAUACUAUCAUUAGCAAGAAGAUGUUGCAGUCGCUUUUAUGUUCACAGUAGCGGACAGUGAGAAGACACGUUUCGUGAUGCAGUCUAGGUUCACCACGUCAUUGUUCCAUAGGAUCAGAAUGCCUCCCCGUGUACCUGAAAUUCCUCCCACCGGUAAAAAAGUGAAGCUACGUAGCCUGAACCCUCCCACGUCUAGAGUCAGCCACUCAUCAAUUGAUGACAUCUUUGUUUCCUGGAGACAAACGAUGUGGCAGGAGGAUGAAGCAAGUACUUGCUGCACGGUCGAUCGACGCGCUUCCGAAUUAUGUCCCCGAACAUUCCAACAUAAGAUAUCAAGAUCGUUAGCUGCCAUGCGAAAGAACCUUGAAGCUCUGCCGAUGUAAAGAAGCGCUAACAA